AUUGAACGCUGGCGGCAUGCUUUACACAUGCAAGUCGAACGGUAACAGGGAGCUUGCUCCGCUGACGAGUGGCGAACGGGUGAGUAAUAUAUCGGAACGUACCCACGAGUGGGGGAUAACGUAGCGAACGUUACGCUAAUACCGCAUACGAUCUAAUGAUGAAAGCGGGGGACCUUCGGGCCUUGUGCUCCUGGAGCGGCCGGUAUCUGAUUAGCUAGUUGGUGAGGUAAAGGCUCACCAAGGCGACGAUCAGUAGCUGGUCUGAGAGGACGACGAGCCACACUGGAACUGAGACACGGUCCAGACUCCUACGGGAGGCAGCAGUGGGGAAGUUUGGACAAUGGGCGCAAGCCUGAUCCAGCAAUGCCGCGUGAGUGAAGAAGGCCUUCGGGUUGUAAAGCUCUUUUGUCAGGGAAGAAACGGGACUGGCUAAUAUCCAGUCCUAAUGACGGUACCUGAAGAAUAAGCACCGGCUAACUACGUG
rnacentral:rRNA from 1 species